AUCGAGCUGACGAGUCCCAAAUAGGACGAAACGCGCGUCCUCGAU
rnacentral:hammerhead_ribozyme from 1 species